rnacentral:tRNA from 1 species
GAAAAUCUAGUUUAAAUAAAACAUUACACUUUCAUUGUAAAGAUAAUAUUA